CUCCUCCGCAGUGGUCAGACACCGCCCUGUUUAUUACUCCGCACCGAGCGAAGAGAGCAGCUCAGAGAAAUGUUUGUCUCGGUCUUUGUUCAUAUUUAAUUAAAGAGGCCUGUUAACAACGACACAGAGGAGCAGUUUAAGAUCGGCACGGUGCUGCAGAAGAAGAAGAUCGAGUCUGUUGAAGGAGUCCCAGGCAAACAGCUGGAGGAUCAUCGUCUACUGGUUUAAUGUGGAAUCCAACACAAGACAACCAUUGAGAUAACUCUAAGAUGGGAGCCUACCUGUGUGCUUACAGAAAAAAUGAUGUCAUGUUCUUCGUUAAAUGGCAUAAUGGGGAGACCAUAUCGAUCCUCCUGUCCAACAAUGAGUUUGAGAGCGUCACAGUGCUG